AGGGUUUGAUCAUGGCUCAGAUUGAACGCUGGCGGCAUGCCUUACACAUGCAAGUCGAACGGUAACAGGUCUUCGGAUGCUGACGAGUGGCGAACGGGUGAGUAAUACAUCGGAACGUGCCCGAGAGUGGGGGAUAACGAAGCGAAAGCUUUGCUAAUACCGCAUACGAUCUCAGGAUGAAAGCAGGGGACCGCAAGGCCUUGCGCUCACGGAGCGGCCGAUGGCAGAUUAGGUAGUUGGUGGGAUAAAAGCUUACCAAGCCGACGAUCUGUAGCUGGUCUGAGAGGACGACCAGCCACACUGGGACUGAGACACGGCCCAGACUCCUACGGGAGGCAGCAGUGGGGAAUUUUGGACAAUGGGCGCAAGCCUGAUCCAGCCAUGCCGCGUGCAGGAUGAAGGCCUUCGGGUUGUAAACUGCUUUUGUACGGAACGAAAAGACUCUGGUUAAUACCUGGGGUCCAUGACGGUACCGUAAGAAUAAGCACCGGCUAACUACGUGCCAGCAGCCGCGGUAAUACGUAGGGUGCGAGCGUUAAUCGGAAUUACUGGGCGUAAAGCGUGCGCAGGCGGUUAUGUAAGACAGAUGUGAAAUCCCCGGGCUCAACCUGGGAACUGCAUUUGUGACUGCAUAGCUAGAGUACGGCAGAGGGGGAUGGAAUUCCGCGUGUAGCAGUGAAAUGCGUAGAUAUGCGGAGGAACACCGAUGGCGAAGGCAAUCCCCUGGGCCUGUACUGACGCUCAUGCACGAAAGCGUGGGGAGCAAACAGGAUUAGAUACCCUGGUAGUCCACGCCCUAAACGAUGUCAACUGGUUGUUGGGUCUUCACUGACUCAGUAACGAAGCUAACGCGUGAAGUUGACCGCCUGGGGAGUACGGCCGCAAGGUUGAAACUCAAAUGAAUUGACGGGGACCCGCACAAGCGGUGGAGCAUGUGGUUUAAUUCGAUGCAACGCGAAAAACCUUACCUACUCUUGACAUACUUGGAAGCUCUUGUAAUGAGAGUGUGCCUUUUGGAGCCAAGAUACAGGUGCUGCAUGGCUGUCGUCAGCUCGUGUCGUGAGAUGUUCCGUUAAGUCGGAUAACGAGCGCAACCCUUACCCUUAUUUGCCAGCGAUUCGGUCGGGAACUAUAAGGGGACUGCCGGUGAUAAACCGGAGGAAGGUGAGGACGACGUCAAGUCAUCAUGGCCCUUACGAGUAGGGCUACACACGUGCUACAAUGGGGAAUACAGACGGACGCUAAAGCGUGAGCUGGUGCCAAUCCUAAAAAAUUUCUCGUAGUCCGGAUUGCAGUCUGCAACUCGACUGCAUGAAGUCGGAAUCGCUAGUAAUCGCGAAUCAGCAUGUCGCGGUGAAUACGUUCUCGGGUCUUGUACACACCGCCCGUCACACCAUGGAAGUGUGUUGCACCAGAAGUAGGUAGUCUAACCUUCGGGAAGGCGCUUACCACGGUGUGAUCCAUGACUGGGGUGAAGUCAUAACAAGGUAGCCGUA
rnacentral:rRNA from 1 species